AUACGGAGGGGGUUAGCGUUGUUCGGAAUUACUGGGCGUAAAGCGCACGUAGGCGGACUGGAAAGUUGGGGGUGAAAUCCCGGGGCUCAACCCCGGAACUGCCUCCAAAACUUCCAAUCUAGAGAUCGAGAGAGGUGAGUGGAAUUCCAAGUGUAGAGGUGAAAUUCGUAGAUAUUUGGAGGAACACCAGUGGCGAAGGCGGCUCACUGGCUCGAUACUGACGCUGAGGCGCGAAAGCGUGGGGAGCAAACAGGAUUAGAAACCCCAGUAGUCC
rnacentral:rRNA from 1 species